GAUGAACGCUGGCGGCGUGCCUAAUACAUGCGAGUCGAGCGAACAGAUGAGGAGCUUGCUCCUCUGACGUUAGCGGCGGACGGGUGAGUAACACGUGGAUAACCUACCUAUAAGACUGGGAUAACUUCGGGAAACCGGAGCUAAUACCGGAUAAUAUAUUGAACCGCAUGGUUCAAUAGUGAAAGACGGUUUUGCUGUCACUUAUAGAUGGUUCCGCGCCGCAUUAGCUAGUUGGUAAGGUAACGGCUUACCAAGGCAACGAUGCGUAGCCGACCUGAGAGGGUGAUCGGCCACACUGGAACUGAGACACGGUCCAGACUCCUACGGGAGGCAGCAGUAGGGAAUCUUCCGCAAUGGGCGAAAGCUUGACGGAGCAACGCCGCGUGAGUGAUGAAGGUCUUCGGAUCGUAAAACUCUGUUAUUAGGGAAGAACAAAUGUGUAAGUAACUAUGCACGUCUUGACGGUACCUAAUCAGAAAGCCACGGCUAACUACGUG
rnacentral:rRNA from 1 species